GUCGCUUCUGCUGACGGAAGCCGCCGGGAAAAACCGACUUUCAUUAAGCACUGCCUGCUGGCGGCCCUCUGCCCCCCCGACACCCACCGAUCUUCCCUGACUCAGCGAACGGUUCAGCUGCGUAUAACUCCUUCAAAAGCAUUCUUCCCGUUAGGCAUUGAAUUUGCGAUAUAGAUUCAAGGAAGCCCGACUCCCGCCCGUCGCUCAUGAUACGCAUGUGUGGCCAUUGCGGGGGGUCAACACUCCAACACUGUGAACGUGAACCAUUAGUGACUUGGGCCACAUCGUGUCGGCGUCGUUUUCAAACUUUUUGUUUGCGCAGGGAAAACACUUUGCUCCGUGAUAUUUCCUUGUUGUCUCCAAGUUUGGAGGGGCGGGACGGGGGGUCCAUUGUCCCUCGACACACUCUUCACGACCCAGCCACCACUUCGUCGUAGGUUUUCUAGUCCCAUUUUUGUGCUCUUCAUCUCGACACAAAGAUGCAGCCUACAUGCACGCCGAUCAUGUCCCGAACGGAGCCGGGCGGGCGCAAGGCCACUGCGUCUCAGCAACGCUCGCAGCGCUCAAUUCGACCGCCGUUUCCCGCUCCCUUACACUCGACUCGUCUGCUUCUCCGGCGUGGCUCUAGCCGACUCGCCGCAGCUGUCUUCUUGGCGGCUCUUGCAUGUUUAUUUUUCCUCGACUUUAACCUUCGGGUGCCCACAGCCGUGGCAGCCGGCUCUGUCUUUCCGGAAGCAGAACCUCAUGAUAAUACAGAAGCGGUGUUUGCACUGGAUGACGACGCAAGGAGGGGGAGCGCCGACGAUCUAUCAGGACAAGAAUCGAGUGCGAGCACUUCUCAAGCCACCUCCCGACGGAGUACAGAUCCGACCUCCACGAAGCGCGUUUCAGCUGUCCAGCGUCGCGUAGGCGCUCGUCGAAUUUCAGUUCUUGGCACAGUUUUAGGUGGUGUACUUGCUGUCCUCUACUUCGCCAAGUUUUUCAAGCGGGGCAAAACAAGGAGUGAAGCUCCACAACCGGAAUCAGACAACGCGUAAGUCGCAUUAACGGCAACGGCAUUCCAGUAAAGCAAUUCUAUGUCUACGCACAGACACCCCCGUGAAAUGCGACCACGAUGCUUUCGACGUUCCUCAUUGCUGCGCUAGUCAGGGCUCCCUUUCUACAGUCUGCUUCUAGCCCAUCACGGCAGGGGCGCUAGCGCAGACUCCACUUAUGUCAGUCAUGCGAAGGAUGCUUGGCACCCCAUGGAUUUUCUCCUCACUUUGCUACUUCUCCUGUGCAUCAGCCCGCUAGUACGCCGACAGCUGCUACCCUCGAUGGGAGAGUCGUGCUGCUGCUGUGUUGGGGGUCCGCGAAUUGACUCCCUCGUCGAGAAGUCCCGUCCUUGUGCUAGAAGCUGUCAAGAGAGGGUUUGCAGGUGAAGGAUACUUAGGAAUCUUGUGACUUGUGGCAAACGAUGGGAUGCCGCUUCGACAUCGGAGCACGCGAAUGAGACGGUGAUGCGAGCAACUCAUGAGACUGAUGAUCCUAGCUAGAUAUGCCACAAGCUAUUGCCGGGGAGCUCACUGCUUUGACAUCUGAAAGCGUUCCAUCAGGCAGGACUCUGAUGAGUGUGUCAGGGGGCUGAGAAGCGUAUGCAGCAACCCGAGCGAAUCUGUAACCGAACGGAGUUUUGUUUGAGUGUACAGCUGGCCCAUGGCCGGUAAAGGACAUGCAUCGCGAAGGCCAUAGCAACUUUCUCGAAACGAGCGUCAGGGAAGAUGACUACAGCCACAGCUGUUACUGUCUGCGAGCAGGGGGUAGACGCCUCCUGUUUGGCUGGCUCCUCCACUUCUGUUGCUGACCGAACAGACGGAAUUUUCAAUGGGACCAUUCGGACGAUACGAUGAGCCGAAGAUUCGUGGGUCUAUUCUGGGCAAACAACUAAGUGGCCUUGGCGACUGUCUCUGCAUUGAGUCGCCGAUCUUGAUUGCAAACGAAGAUGCUGUCAAGUUUUCCGGCGGUCUUUUCUGGUGACAGCCGGCUUCAGCCAUCUGGAAGAAGAGGCCCGUAUCCGGUCCUCGCAGUUCUUCCACACGGUCGGGCGACAACCAGGGCCUACGCGACGAAGUUGAAUUUUUUCAUGCAUUAUUUUCCAGGCCGUUCGCAGCAACUAGCGCUCGAAUGGCUGUGGCCUUGCAAUCAUAGAAAAGACAGCACAGUUGCUCGAAGAGCCUGUAAGUCUCAUACACUUGCCUCGUGGGAUCUGUAGCCGACGGCAGAACCGUCUUUCGCAUGUCGUCACCCCUGGAAACUUUCCUCUGUAUUUUACGUAGAGAAAUCAUACCUGGCGGCAAGCAAGGCGGUGCUGAUGAUGCAUAUGUGACACAAUGUACCAUACUGCGGCCACGCUGACGGGAAGGAUGUAUGGCUGGCGUCCCCGACCGUGGGGUGUAUGCGACCGACGGGUCUUCGCUGCCGUCGCGUGGCCGCAGCGAGGUAAACGGUCUGGUCUGUUUGAGAGGGGCCACCGACUGUAUUGCUUACCGUGGGGGUCUGCCUAAUUGACAACGCUAGACUGGUCGUUGGAGUUAUUGUUCCUCUGUGCUCACGGGGCGGUGUUAAGCGUCAGGAAAAGUCUGUAGGUUGGUGGUACUGCUGAGCGGAGUGUCUCACCUCAAGACAUCUCAGGAGUGGGAGUUGUUUGCGUCUUCUUGCGUGGAACGACAAAAGAGAACGGCCAGCGACAAUGAGGUUCGGUGCAGAGUUGUUGUACAACAGUGCCACACAAGUUCGAAAGAAACUCCCGUGGUUGAAAGGAUCCUCGGGACCACAGCAAAUGCCACCAGAGGCUGUGGCUCAGGCAAAUAUAGUCCCCAGUGCCUUGGCUAAGGGAUUCUGGAAAUCAAACCUGCCACAAAGGGGAAUCGUUUCGCAUACCAAAUGCUGCAUGCACGUCUCUGAUGGUGCUCGCUCGUGCAAACAGGAAGACGUCAUUCCUAGGAAGGGUCAGGGUUUUCCCAUGAACGUGUAGACCAUUCGUUCUGCCCCGGAAUGACUUGUGAAGGACUACGAUCUUUGGCGAUGCUGUUGAGACUAACUAAUGAAGUAGUCCGCUUCUCCUGUAACUCGAUGGAAUUGCUAAGCAAACGCAACACGACACGAUCAACCCAAUCCGGGGUUGAUUUCCACUAAUUUUUGUUCAAACGUAUCGACGACCAAACUGCUGCACGGCAAACAGUUGCCGGGACUGGUCUGCGGGCGUUCAUGUUCAUUCGAUUAAUCAGCUUGCCCAAAAAGGUGCACAUGCGCAAAACGCAGCAUGUUUCCUGCCGCCCUUCUCGUACCCGUCUACACCGUGUAGCUGAAUAAGUUUCAAUAAGCUGCAAUGUUGUUGCGCUGAAAGCACGCCGUAAACCGUGGCCAUGUGAAUGUUCGCGUGCCCUCCGUGUUCGAAGCCUGAGUUGUGGACAAGCGGAAGCUCUUGCGCACUCCCACAAUUUUGUCAGCGUUUCAUGCCAUGAGAUGCACUCCUCGUUUUCUUUAGAUGUGGAACAAGAAAGUACGUAUUGAGGUGGCUUCCCCCUCAUGAGCGUGGCCAUCCCUUGCGCAAUGGACCUUCUCUUGUUCUAUUAUCUUUUGUCGCCGUCUGCCAAUAACCGCACCAAAUGCACGUAGCCUCAGCCAUUACCGCCUGCCGAGGUGCUGUUGAGCGCCGAUGCUGGUUGCUAAACAGAGUGACAUUCACGGCUACGAGAAAGCCUGGACCUCAGGCUUUCCGUUUCACAACGUACUUGGUCUUGGAAUUGUCACGGGGCUUGCGCUCCAACACAGCUCGCGUGUGGUGUGCUGUUGUGCGAUUUGUAGGUGGCUGCCGGUCUAGCAACGGCUGCCGCUGCUGUAACGCUCGUGAGUUUGCGUGCUUCAUCGGAGAGCCUUUUGAGUGCCCCCGCGCUUCCAACGUUAUCCUAAUGACUGUAGUCAGCUCAGAGUUGAAAGAAGCACUGGGCGACAUUUGCAUCGGCGUCUACUCGACGAAAUCACCUGGGUUUGACAGAUGGAUGACUUCUUCACACGUCAUAUCCAGUUCGUAAACCACACAAGGCUCAAGAGGAUGCUUGGCGCUUGGAGCUCUGUCAGCUGCCUCGUUAUCGACGUGCAAUCCCUGUUGAGCCCACGACUGCCACAGCACUAACGCGUGCUUUCUACAGCAUCAAGCCGUCUUUCCAGUAUAUGUAUCCAGAGGGGUUGCCGACACAUUUGCUGUCCUGGACUUACCUUCUUGUGCCUCGCCGCAGUACCUGAUUACAGUAAGAGUGGAAUGCGGAAAGAUUCAUCCCUGUUGGCUUCGACGGCCUGGAAGCCUAUGACCAAGGAAGGGCCUCGUCCUAGAGGCCAGUCGGCCAGGCGUUCAAGGGGUUGACACCUGCCACGGUCACUGUCUGUAGAAUCUGCAGAAUCAUCAGCCGAUCAGCUUUAAAAUACGAGUGUAGCGUCGUCGCA
rnacentral:lncRNA from 1 species